GACGAACCGUCCAAACGUUGUUCGGAAUCACUGGGCUUACAGAGUUCGUAGGCGGUCUGGAAAGUUGGGUGUGAAAUCCCUCGGCUCAACCGAGGAACUGCGCUUGAAACUACCAGACUCGAGGGAGAUAGAGGAAAGCGGAACUGAUGGUGGAGCGGUGAAAUGCGUUGAUAUCAUCAGGAACACCGGUGGCGAAGGCGGCUUUCUGGGUCUUACCUGACGCUGAGGAACGAAAGCUAGGGGAGCGAACGGG
rnacentral:rRNA from 1 species